UACAGAGGUGGCAAGCGUUGUUCGGAAUUACUGGGCGUAAAGGGCGCGUAGGCGGCCUGCUAAGUCGGACGUGAAAUCCCUCGGCUCAACCGAGGAACUGCGUCCGAUACUGGUGGGCUUGAAUCCGGGAGAGGGAUGUGGAAUUCCAGGUGUAGCGGUGAAAUGCGUAGAUAUGGGGAGGAACACCGGUGGCGAAGGCGGCCAUCUGGACGGCUAUUGACGCUGAGACGCGAAAGCGUGGGGAGCAAACAGG
rnacentral:rRNA from 1 species